rnacentral:rRNA from 1 species
CCUACGGGUGGCAGCAGUGAGGAAUAUUGGACAAUGGCCGUAAGGCUGAACCAGCCAAGUCGCGUGAAGGAAGAAGGAUCUAUGGUUUGUAAACUUCUUUUAUAGGGGAAUAAAGGUAUACACGUGUGGAUUUUUACAUUUACCCUAUGAAUAAGCAUCGGCUAACUCCGUUCCAGCAGACGAGGGAAUACGGGGGAUGCGAGCGUUAUCCGGUUUUAAUGGGUUGAAAGUGUGCGUAGGGUGUUUUUUAAGUCAGCGGGGAAAGUUUGUGGCUCAAACAUAAGAUCGCCGUUGAAACUGGAAGACUUGAGUGUGUUUGAGGUAGGCGGAAUGCGUGGUGUAGCGGUGAAAUGCAUAGAUAUCACGCAGAACUCCGAUUGCGAAGGCAGCUUACUAAGCCAUAACUGACACUGAAGCACGAAAGCGUGGGGAGCAAACAGGAUUAGAUACCCGAGUAGUC